ensembl:lncRNA
CUGAAAACCUCUACUGAACUCAAGACUAUUAAAGUGUAAAGUUUUAUUAGAACAUGAAUUUUUGAGACAAUGAUAGAAUAUUUAGUAAAUGAAAACAAUAUUUAAGAACUUUUUAAAAACAAUUCUGAACCAUUGAAACGCUUAACCACUAAAAUUUUACAGGCGUCACCUGUAAAAUCAACAAUCCAUUUAGUCUACCAUUUUUUUUUUAAAUAUCCGCAGCACUUUUAGAAUUAAGAUGAUAAAUGAAGUCCCACCCCUUAUUUCCAGGAUCUCCUGCUCAAUGGUGUCCAGGUUUUCUGGGGCCGAUGCUUGAGGUGGUGGGUCCACCACCUGUGCAGUUGAGUUCCACACCUGGGGCAGUUGGGGCACCAGCAGCAGCUGGUGGGUCCUUCACUUUACCUAAUUUUGUGACCAUGGGGAUGGAUGGUGAUGUCAACUCCCACUCAAGUGACCUCACGGCCUUGGACCUCUGAGAAACUUGUGUGUCUCGACAUAUUUGCACACCUUCUGGCAGAGUGGGCUUGCAAGAAAUGGAAGGCUCUAGUGAUAGUGGGAUUGAAAGCCACAGCACUGGAACUACCAUACCAAUUUCCAGAACUGACAGCGAUGAGCUUACCUCAUCUGAUUCUCUUCCUCCUCCACCACCUCCACCACUUCCUCCACCUAUUCCACCAGUUCCUCCUCCUCUUCCUCCUACACCACCCUCUCCUCUUCUUCAUGAUGAAGAUUAUUUUGCUGAUGAUGAAGAGGACUGAAUAACUUGUUUAAUAAUAUGUUAUUUUUUCGAGUUUAAUAAAGUUUUUAUCAUUUUUUGUUAAAGUUUUAAU